rnacentral:ribozyme from 1 species
UGCCCAGCAACUCCUAUCCCUACCUCCUCGUGGUACUGGCCGGGGUACGAGUAACCUUGGGGAAGAUCGGGUAACCAACCCCCGGUGGGAACUUUGGUCGUAUGCUGACAGGGAACAGG